rnacentral:rRNA from 1 species
GAACGCUGGCGGUAUGCUUAACACAUGCAAGUCGAACGGAAGUCUUCGGACUUUAGUGGCGGACGGGUGAGUAACGCGUGAGAAUCUGGCUUUAGGUCGGGGACAACAGUUGGAAACGACUGCUAAUACCGGAUAUGCCGAGAGGUGAAAGAUUAAUUGCCUGAAGAAGAGCUCGCGUCUGAUUAGCUAGUUGGUGGGGUAAGAGCUUACCAAGGCGACGAUCAGUAGCUGGUCUGAGAGGACGAUCAGCCACACUGGGACUGAGACACGGCCCAGACUCCUACGGGAGGCAGCAGUGGGGAAUUUUCCGCAGUGGGCGAAAGCCUGACGGAGCAAUACCGCGUGAGGGAGGAAGGCUCUUGGGUUGUAAACCUCUUUUCUUAGGGAAGAAAAAAAUGACGGUACCUAAGGAAUCAGCAUCGGCUAACUCCGUGCCAGCAGCCGCGGUAAUACGGAGGAUGCAAGCGUUAUCCGGAAUGAUUGGGCGUAAAGCGUCCGCAGGUGGCAUUUCAAGUCUGCGGUCAAAGGUCGAGGCUCAACCUCGAACAGGCCGUGGAAACUGAAAAGCUAGAGUGUGGUAGGGGCAGAGGGAAUUCCCAGUGUAGCGGUGAAAUGCGUAGAGAUUGGGAAGACACCGGUGGCGAAAGCGCUCUGCUAGGCCAAGACUGACACU